UACGUAGGUGGCAAGCGUUGUCCGGAUUUACUGGGCGUAAAGGGCGUGCAGGCGGUUUGUUAAGUGCAGGGUGAAGGCUCCCGGCUCAACUGGGAGAGGUCCUUGCAUACUGGCGAACUCGAGGGAGGCAGAGGAAAGUGGAAUUCCCGGUGUAGUGGUGAUAUGCGUAGAUAUCGGGAGGAACACCUGUGGCGAAGGCGGCUUUCUGGGCCUUACCUGACGCUGAGACGCGAAAGCGUGGGGAGCGAACCGG
rnacentral:rRNA from 1 species